rnacentral:rRNA from 1 species
AGCGAACGCUGGCGGCAGGCCUAAUACAUGCAAGUCGAGCGCACCUUCGGGUGAGCGGCGGACGGGUGAGUAACGCGUGGGAACGUGCCCUUUGGUACGGGAUAACUGAGGGAAACUUCAGCUAAUACCGUAUGUGCCCUACGGGGGAAAGAUUUAUCGCCAUUGGAGCGGCCCGCGUUGGAUUAGGUAGUUGGUGAGGUAAAGGCUCACCAAGCCUACGAUCCAUAGCUGGUCUGAGAGGAUGAUCAGCCACACUGGGACUGAGACACGGCCCAGACUCCUACGGGAGGCAGCAGUAGGGAAUCUUGCGCAAUGGGCGAAAGCCUGACGCAGCCAUGCCGCGUGAAUGAUGAAGGUCUUAGGAUUGUAAAAUUCUUCCACCGGGGAAGAUAAUGACGGUACCCGGAGAAGAAGCCCCGGCUAACUUCGUGCCAGCCGCCGCGGUAACAC